rnacentral:rRNA from 1 species
CUUACGAGUAGGAUGCUCAGCGCCCGACCUCCACCCUUUGUUGUUAAAACUACCUUGUUGCUUUGGCGGGACCGCUCGGUCUCGAGCCGCUGGGGAUUCGUCCCAGGCGAGCGCCCGCCAGAGUUAAACCAAACUCUUGUUAUUUAACCGGUCGUCUGAGUUAAAAUUUUGAAUAAAUCAAAACUUUCAACAACGGAUCUCUUGGUUCUCGCAUCGAUGAAGAACGCAGCGAAAUGCGAUAAGUAAUGUGAAUUGCAGAAUUCAGUGAAUCAUCGAAUCUUUGAACGCACAUUGCGCCCCUUGGUAUUCCGAGGGGCAUGCCUGUUCGAGCGUCAUUACACCACUCAAGCUAUGCUUGGUAUUGGGUGCCGUCCUUAGUUGGGCGCGCCUUAAAGACCUCGGCGAGGCCUCACCGGCUUUAGGCGUAGUAGAAUUUAUUCGAACGUCUGUCAAAGGAGAGGACUUCUGCCGACUGAAACCUUUAUUUUUCUAGGUUGACCUCGGAUCAGGUAGGGAUACCCGCUGAACUUAAGCAUAUCAA